rnacentral:rRNA from 1 species
GACAGAGGGUGCAAACGUUGUUCGGAAUUACUGGGCGUAAAGCGUGUGUAGGCGGCUAGGGAAGUCGGAUGUGAAAGCCCCGGGCUCAACUCGGGAAGUGCACUCGAUACUGCUUAGCUCGAGUACCGGAGAGGUUGGUGGAAUUCUCGGUGUAGAGGUGAAAUUCGUAGAUAUCGAGAGGAACACCGGUGGCGAAGGCGGCCAACUGGACGAGUACUGACGCUGAGACACGAAAGCGUGGGGAGCAAACAGG